rnacentral:lncRNA from 1 species
AAGAGUAAAAAGUGGUGAGAAUCUCAAUAGGAAAAAUAUAAAGCCAAUAUAAGCAAUCUUCCUUCACACAAUUAUCACAACUAAAGUUGGACAUAAGUAAUAGAAGCUCACCACUUAUGUUUAUCCGAUUUUUACCUGUUAAUCUCCAAUGUAUUUGAUUUCAAGAAAAAGGGACAGAGUAACAUUAGUUGAUGCAACUCAAAGACUGAUCAAGAAAAGAAGGAAAAACUAAUAGGGGAGACAUAUACUACAACCAUCCGAAAAAUUGUUGAAUACGUGAAAAAUCAAACAAAACAACCAGCAUUAAAAUGGUAUAGAUACUGAACCAAGCUACAAUCUGCAACAAAACAACAAAUGAAAAAACCAAAAACUAAAAAUCAAAAAGAGAUUAUAUUUCCAGAAUAAUAUACAACCAAGCUAACACAUGCAGCACAAAGAGCAACUUGUUGAAAAUAAGGGAAAAUCAUAACCUGAAAUUUUUAUGUGAAACAGGAUUUGAACACCUGCAGCGCAAAAAAUUUAUUUAAAUUAAAUGCGGUAUAAAUUCACUGACUCCCUGCUAAUUAGUAGGGAGGAAACAGAAAGUUCACAAGAAAAUUUCAAAAGAAACCAAAAAAGAAGAGGACUAAGCAGAGAAGCAGAAGAUUGAAAACAAAACCUGAGCGGAAACAGAAGUACAGAAAAGAAGAAAACUCAGAAGAAGAAAGAACGGCAGCGAGAGAAAGCAAAUAAUAGACGCAUGCAUGUAGGAAAGAACAUCAGAACUAUCGAAAAACAGAGAUCAGUUACCAGAAUUUCCUCUGAUCUUCAGUAAUGUGUUGAAUCCUAUGAAAUAUGUACAUGGAUCUUUAAUUCUCUUAAAGAAAGGAUAAUCAGCAGGGUCAAUUUGGACUCCAAUUCGAAAAUUUGAAAGAAAACCCUAUGGAGGCACGAAAAAG